UCAGAAUAAGCAGUUUAAGUUUUAUUUGGUAGGUUAUCACAGAAAUGAAGAACUUUUAGUAGGUAUGUGUGUUCAGAUGUGUAUUACAACAUUAAUGAUUGUAUAAAGUAAUAGCAGCUAACAUUAUGUACCCAGAACUGUUCCAAGUGCUUUACAUGUACUCAGUCGCUUAACCCUACAUCAACCUUAUAAAAUUGGUACUAAUGUGUUCAUUACCACUGGGAAUUUUGAAGCACCCAAAACAAAAAUGAUUCGCCCUCAAUUCAAACUCCGGUAAUGUAGCUCCAGAUGCUACGCUCUCUUUUUACCUAGGAAAAUUCUGGAAAAAAAUACUCUGGUAAGCACUGCAGAUGUCUUUGUCAGUACUGAGCCUGGAAGAUAGUUUUGAAGCCACUGCAACCAUCAAUGAAGGACUGAAUCAAGGCCGGCGCGGUGGCUCACACCUGUAAUCCAACACUUUGGGAGCCCGAGGUGGGUGGAUCAUGAGGUCAGGAGUUCGAGACCAGGCUGGCCAACAUGGUGAAACCCAUCUCUACUAAAAAUACAAAAAUUAGCCAGGCGUGGUGGCAGGCUCCUGUAAUCUCAGCUACUUGGGAGGCUGAGGCAGGAGAAUCGUUUGAAACUGGGAAGGUGAAGGUUGCAGUGAGCCGAGAUCGUGUCACUGCACUCUAGCCCGGACAACAAGAGUGAAAUUCCGUCUCAAAAAAAAAAAGGACUGAAUCAAGGCCAUGGAAAUGCAAAUUUCAGUUAUAUUUAGUAAGUAAAAAUCCUAACCACUUUGUUACUAAGGGAUGUUACGAGAGCAAAAGAGAAUAGUUUCCUAGUCUCUAACUUGGGAAAUGGAAAGAAUGGGAAUGUCAACCACUGGGAAAAGAGAAAACAUUUUUGGUGGGAAUUUGGAAGAGAAAAUAUAGAGAUUAAGCUUAAGAUGCUUAUAGGGUAUCUAGGUAGAAAGUUAGGCAGACCUGGGUAUCAAAGGUGUACUCACUGGUAUGUUGGUCCUAAGGGAGCUCAUGUGGGCAAGAACACAUGUGAAUAGAUGGAACCACAUGGGAAGUUGUAAAAUUCAGAGAAGAAACACCGAUGAUGGGCACAGGAGAGUGGUUUGUAAAGUCAAGGGAGUAGUUUCAAGAAAGUAGUCACUAACAUUAAAUGUUGUGGUGCUAUCAAGUAAGACAAGCAGUGAAAAUGGCUGCUAAAUUUGGUCAAUAGAUCACUGGUGACUUUGGAAAGAAAUUUCAAUGGAUUGGUGGGGUAAAAAGCAAACGAUAGUGCACUAAGGAAUAAGAGAUGAAGAAACUGAAAUAAAUGAAAACACUCUUUCCAAAGAUCAUUCUACAAAAGAACAAACAGACCAGUAACUAGAAAAGAGAGAGGUUUUAUUCUUUUUUAUAAGUGAGAGAUGUGAGCACGUUAAUAGGAACACUUGGUGUCAGUGAAGAGGGAGAGGUUAAAAAAAAUACAGGAAGGCUGGAUGCAGUGGCUCAUGCCUGUAAUCCUAGCACUUUGGAAGGCUGAGGCAGGCAGAUCGGCUGAGGCAGGCAGAUCACCUGAGGUCGGGAGUUCAAGAUCAACCUGACCAACAUGGAGAAACCCUGUCUCUACCAAAAAUAGAAAAUUAGCCUGGUGUGGUGGUGCAUGCCUGUAACCCCAGCUACUUGGGAGGCUGAGGCAGGAAAAUCACUUGAACCCGGGAGGCAGAGGUUGCAGUGAGCUGAGAUAGCACCAUUGCAUUCCAGCCUGGGCAACAAGAGUGAAACUCCAUCUCAAAAAAUAAAAAAUAAAAAAAGUACCGGAAAGAGAAGAUAUUUGAUGAAGCAGUGUUCUGAGUGAACCAGAAUAAUGAAAAAGUUGCUUAGAACCUACAGCAUGAUAUGUCUAAAACUAGAGCAAGGUUUCCCGGCCUGGGCACUCCGGACAUGUGGAGACAGUUCUUUGUUACGGGGUGGUGCUGCCCUAUGCACUAUAGAAUAUUUAGCAGCACCCUAAUCUAAUAUUCACUGGAUGCCAGCAGCACCCCACACCAAGUUGUGAUAACCAAAAAGUGUCUCCAAAAACUGCUAACUGUCCCCCGGCUGGAGAAAAAGCAAAAUCAACUCCAGCUGAGAACCACUGGUCUUGAGGCAGAGACCAGAUUAUUUAAAUGAGCUGAGAGGUUACUAAAACAAAUUACUAUAGUCCCAUCUACUAGUUACAUAAGGAAAAGAGGCAAGUUUCUCUGCUGGGAGGGAAGUAAGGUGGUAAAGGUGGCAUGUGUUGUGGUGAGUAGAAAAGUUUUGGAAUAACUUGGUGAAAUUCACCUAUGGGAAGGCAAAACUGGGUAUCAGAAAUACUUUUACUCCUCCUAGACUUAAAAGGCAAGUGUAUGCCUCGUCCCUUU
ensembl:lncRNA